ACAGAGGUGCCGAGCGUUAGGCGGAAUCACUGGGCUUAAAGCGCGUGUAGGCGGGUCGUUAAGUGUCCGCGUGAAAUCCCACGGCUCAACCGUGGAACUGCCGGGCAUACUGGCGACCUUGAGGCACUUAGGGGCGAGCGGAACAAAUGGUGGAGCGGUGAAAUGCGUAGAUAUGUGGAGGAAUACCGAUGGCGAAGGCAGCCCCCUGGGAUAACACUGGCGCUCAUGCACGAAAGCGUGGGGAGCAAACAGGA
rnacentral:rRNA from 1 species